GCAUCACGAAUGAACUUUGGUCCCUGGCUCUGAGAACUGAAUUCCAUAGGCUGUGAGCUCUAGCAAAUGCCCUAGGAGCUCAGUUCUGGUGCCCGGCAGGCCGUGCUACACCGGUGGUGC
rnacentral:pre_miRNA from 15 species